AGCUCGAUGAGUAGGGCGGGACACGUGGUAUCCUGUCUGAAUAUGGGGGGACCAUCCUCCAAGGCUAAAUACUCCUGACUGACCGAUAGUGAACCAGUACCGUGAGGGAAAGGCGAAAAGAACCCCGGCGAGGGGAGUGAAAAAGAACCUGAAACCGUGUACGUACAAGCAGUGGGAGCACCCUUUGGGGUGUGACUGCGUACCUUUUGUAUAAUGGGUCAGCGACUUAUAUUCUGUAGCAAGGUUAACCGAAUAGGGGAGCCGGAGGGAAACCGAGUCUUAAUUGGGCGUUAAGUUGCAGGGUAUAGACCCGAAACCCGGUGAUCUAGCCAUGGGCAGGUUGAAGGUUGGGUAACACUAACUGGAGGACCGAACCGACUAAUGUUGAAAAAUUAGCGGAUGACCUGUGGCUGGGGGUGAAAGGCCAAUCAAACCGGGAGAUAGCUGGUUCUCCCCGAAAGCUAUUUAGGUAGCGCCUCGUGAAUUCAUCUCCGGGGGUAGAGCACUGUUUCGGCUAGGGGGCCAUCCCGGCUUACCAACCCGAUGCAAACUGCGAAUACCGGAGAAUGUUAUCACGGGAGACACACGGCGGGUGCUAACGUCCGUCGUGAAGAGGGAAACAACCCAGACCGCCAGCUAAGGUCCCAAAGUCAUGGUUAAGUGGGAAACGAUGUGGGAAGGCCCAGACAGCCAGGAUGUUGGCUUAGAAGCAGCCAUCAUUUAAAGAAAGCGUAAUAGCUCACUGGUCGAGUCGGCCUGCGCGGAAGAUGUAACGGGGCUAAACCAUGCACCGAAGCUGCGGCAGCGACACUAUGUGUUGUUGGGUAGGGGAGCGUUCUGUAAGCCUGCGAAGGUGGCCUGUGAGGGUUGCUGGAGGUAUCAGAAGUGCGAAUGCUGACAUAAGUAACGAUAAAGCGGGUGAAAAGCCCGCUCGCCGGAAGACCAAGGGUUCCUGUCCAACGUUAAUCGGGGCAGGGUGAGUCGACCCCUAAGGCGAGGCCGAAAGGCGUAGUCGAUGGGAAACGGGUUAAUAUUCCCGUACUUGGUGUUACUGCGAAGGGGGGACGGAGAAGGCUAUGUUGGCCGGGCGACGGUUGUCCCGGUUUAAGCGUGUAGGUGUGUGUUCCAGGUAAAUCCGGUUCACUUUAACACUGAGGCGUGAUGACGAGGCACUACGGUGCUGAAGCAACAAAUGCCCUGCUUCCAGGAAAAGCCUCUAAGCAUCAGGUAACACGAAAUCGUACCCCAAACCGACACAGGUGGUCAGGUAGAGAAUACCAAGGCGCUUGAGAGAACUCGGGUG
rnacentral:rRNA from 1 species